GACACCUACAUUUUAAAAUACAUAAGCAUCACAGUAAGUCCUAGACAGCUUUGUACCUUCAUCCAUAUGGGGUAUCACUCUCAUUCAACAGGUCUAAUUGUCCUGCAAAUCACCUCAGUGUGUACAGAGGGCAUAAUAUCAUCUCCCCGUCCAAACCCACCAAAACAGGGGUGUUCACAUACAAAAAGCAAAACUCUUGAUUACUGCACUCACCAUCUUAAGCAUUUCUUGACCACACAGGUAUCUGUUCCCUCUGAACACAAACGCUGGUUGAAAAUGCAAAUAUUUUUGAGAUGCCUUUGUUUGAUAGAUGGAAAAAAUACAGUAGCAGCCUUUGCUGAGGACGAGAAAGGGCAUCUCUGGGGAGCUGUAGGCAAAAGCAGUGUCCUUAAGGUUUGUCUAUAACCUAGAUGAGGAGCCAACCCACGCUUUGCUCUGCAGCCAAGCCUAGAACCUGAAGCACUUUGGAGUAAGAAAGCCAAGCUGGCUCUGUGGAAGCAACGUUGCAGCGUUUCUGAGGUGCUCUUCUCAUUAUGAACUGCCCUUGGCUGUAUGUAGAUUUAUCAGCUCUUGUGUAGGAUACUGAAGUGCCUUCUUCUGAUGUAAGACACCAUUGUCUUACAGGCAUCCCUGUGUGGAUUUUACCACAAAAUGAACUUUGGGCAGUUAGAUCAUUACUACAUGAUUAAGUGCAGUGUGAACUCUUCUUUAGCCUUGUAUGGCUGUACAACACAUCACAAUCACACCAUCUGUACCUAAAACUAGGAGAAGCAAAAAGGUACAUUAUCCUUAUAAAGGCAGCCCUUCAAUAAAUAAUCUAACAAGCCUGCUCCUGUUUGACCCAGACGUGAGGAAGGAAUCAACCCAUCCAAACUAGCUGCUUCUAUUCCUGAUUGUUUUUUCUUUGUAGACCGUAGCAGAAUUUGUGGAGCUUGCCGAACUGCUCUCUCCUUUCUUAAUGUGCUGGCAGGAGUGUACACAUUGCUAUGUAUCUAUAAUGCCAGAAAAAAGGUUGUCUUUUAAACUCUAUUUUUCUUUGAAAAGGAAAUAAAUAAAAUCUCUUGCUUUUAAAAUUUCCUUAAUGAAGAAAAAAACAACCAACCAACAAAACAACCAACCUCCCAUUUGUCUAAGCUGGGUGGAGGUUCAGCUGCCUGCUUGCUGCAUUGCCCAGAAGUGCAAGGGAGGUAAGGCUCCCAGAGGCAGCUGGGGAGCCCAAGCUGUGACCCCCCCCCCCGGUGCACAGCCUGGGGAAUUUCAAAAACCAGCAGCAGCCAAUGCGAACAGCAGUGCUCUGCUAUGGCAUGGGCACUGCCCGGCAUCUUUCUGGUAUUCUAGCAAAUGUAAUUCAUAAAUUAAACCAAUGCAGAUUAACAGUGCUAGGCUCAUACAUUCAAAUUCAAAACAAAUUCAGUCACAAUUUGUCUGUACAGGGUUAAACAGCAUUGUCUGUCCCUUAGGUUUGCCAUUCUGCUGUAACAGAUACUGAUUUUAACAGAGUUCAGAUCUCUUUCAUCAGCUGAGUUACUUCAGCUCAGGGUUCAAAUUUUCUGAAGUGGUCUCAAACUUACAGCGUUUUGGGGAUGUGAUUUUUGGCAUUCCCUCAUUCACCCUCUCUGUGCCACCCCACAGUAACCUGUUCUCUUUUCAUGAUGCUGCAUGAAAUACCAUUUUCCCUUUAUCUGGGCUAUUACUUAGUCAAUUAAUUUACCUUUUAUGUUCCCCGCUUUCUCUUUAGGAAAGGCAUUGAGAAGAUUUGGGUAUAGCCAUAAUGUGCCACGUUGACUAAAUCAUCAAAGUCUUUGUACUCUUCCAGGGUUGCUUACCACAUGCUGGCAUUUUCAGGUUUAGCAUUGCUUAGGGUAACUCUUGAUUAUGUUGCCUCACUUAUCCUCAAUAAAUUCUCUCAACUCUUGUUUAAAAAACAGGUAUAUAAUUUAAAAUCACCUUUGUCUUGGAAGGAAACGCUCAAAAUUUCUCGUGUGUAUUACCCCUUUUGCAAGCAUGCAAGGAGAAAUACCUGUUGGUUCCUCCAUGGAAGAUGGAGCCAAUACGAAGCAUGUUGCCUGCAGCUGUCUGUACAAAGGCUCCCUGUGCCAUGUGCUGUAUGGGAAUGAGCUCACUAGUUGAAUAGAGCUACUGAACCAGUUACGGAUGUAGUCUGACAGUCACAGAACAAACAUGACUCAUUUAAGAACGUUCCUUACCUUCCCUUUUAAUGACUGGUUUCACCAUAGUCAGUAAAGUAGAACUGAAGGGAGAACAAAGCGUUCUUCAGCCAGCUCCACACGGUGUUCUCGCACACCACCUGCUCUGCUGCAUGAGUAUGUUUGACACGUAAACAGAAGCAACUGUCCCUCCACAAUGACAAUAUCCCUCUGAUGUCCCAGACGCUGCAACAGAAUCGCCUCUAGCAACAGAUACUAACGUGCUACUGCUAACAAUACUAACACAGUACUAACAGAUGAGAAGAUUAAUGGCAAGGUUUUACAAACUACAAGGAAAAAGCCUUAAAACUACAAAACA